AAGUCGAGCGCGAAAACACUUAGGUGUGAGUAAAGCGGCGGACGGGUGAGUAACGCGUAGGAAUCUACCUAGUAGUGGGGGACAACUCGGGGAAACUCGAGCUAAUACCGCAUACGCCCUACGGGGGAAAGCGGGGGACCCUCGGGCCUCGCGCUAUUAGAUGAGCCUGCGUUGGAUUAGCUAGUUGGUGGGGUAAAGGCCUACCAAGGCGACGAUCCAUAGCUGGUCUGAGAGGAUGAUCAGCCACACCGGGACUGAGACACGGCCCGGACUCCUACGGGAGGCAGCAGUGGGGAAUAUUGCGCAAUGGGCGAAAGCCUGACGCAGCCAUGCCGCGUGUGUGAAGAAGGCCCUCGGGUUGUAAAGCACUUUCAAUUGGGAGGAAAAGUUCACGGCUAAUAACCGUGAGUUGUGACGUUACCUUUAGAAGAAGCACCGGCUAACUCCGUGCCAGCAGCCGCGGUAGUACGGAGGGUGCGAGCGUUAAUCGGAAUUACUGGGCGUAAAGCGCGCGUAGGUGGUCUAUUAAGUCGGAUGUGAAAGCCCCGGGCUCAACCUGGGAACUGCAUCCGAUACUGGGCAGACUAGAGUGCGGGAGAGGGAGGUAGAAUUCCACGUGUAGCGGUGAAAUGCGUAGAUAUGUGGAGGAAUACCAGUGGCGAAGGCGGCCUCCUGGCUCGACACUGACACUAAGGUGCGAAAGCGUGGGGAGCAAACAGGAUUAGAUACCCUGGUAGUCCACGCCGUAAACGAUGUCUACUAGCUGUA
rnacentral:rRNA from 1 species